rnacentral:rRNA from 1 species
UGCGUAGGCGGCUUUUUAAGUUUGUUGUGAAAUCUCCCGGCUCAACCGGGAGGGUGCGGCGAAUACUGAGAAGCUAGAGUGUGGGAGAGGAAAGUGGAAUUCCUGGUGUAGCGGUGAAAUGCGUAGAUAUCAGGAGGAACACCGGUGGUGUAAACGGCUUUCUGGACCAUAACUGACGCUGAGGCACGAAAGCGUGGGUAGCAAACA